rnacentral:sRNA from 1 species
ACAUAGCCCUGAUGGGAACGGCAUCCUUUUUUGUUUUUUUUGAUUGAUCUUCGAUGGGAAAAGCAAACGUUGUAAAAAACAAAAAAGAUAUAGUGGACAGCAGGCAGGAAA